rnacentral:rRNA from 1 species
UACAGAGGUCCCAAGCGUUGUUCGGAUUCACUGGCGUAAAGGGUGCGUAGGUGGUCGGGUAAGUCUGAUGUGAAAUCUCCGAGCUCAACUCGGAAACUGCAUCGGAUACUAUUCGGCUAGAGGGUUGGAGGGGGACUGGAAUACUUGGUGUAGCAGUGAAAUGCGUAGAUAUCAAGUGGAACACCAGUGGCGAAGGCGAGUCCCUGGACAACUCCUGACACUGAGGCACGAAAGCUAGGGGAGCAAACAGG